rnacentral:ncRNA from 1 species
UAAAAGUUUUAUUCUUACUUAAUAAUUUACUUAAAUUUUGUUUUACAUGUAAAUUUUUGUGUGAUUUGGUUUAAUUCUUAAUGAGUUAAAUUUUAUGAAUUAAUCGCAGUGUUUAAUAUUAUUAGAUCAAAGGGAUUUGGAAUUAGCAAUAUUUUUUAGUACCGGCUAAAGUCGUGCCAGCCGCCGCGGUUAUACGGAGGGUGCAAGUGAAUUUUAUUAGUGUAUAGUUAUACGUUAAAGGUGGAAAUUAAUAAAAGAUUUAUUAGGUGAAAUUUUUAAAUUUUUAAAUAAUUUUUUAUUGAAUUGUAGAAGCUAUGAAAUUUAAAUAUUAAACUAGGAUUAGAUACCCUAUUAUUUUAAAUGUGAAUUAAAAUACUUGAGUAGUAAUAGUUAUGUUCUUGAAACUCAAAGAAUUUGGCGGUGUUUUAGUCCUUUCAGAGGAACCUGUCCCGUAAUCGAUAUUCCACGCAAAACCUUACUUAAGUUAAUUCAAUUUGUAUACCGCCGUCGUCAGAAUGUCUUCAGAAAGUAUAAAUUUUCUUAAAUUUUUAUUAAAAAUGAUGUCAGGUCAAGGUGCAGUUUAUAUUUAAGUGGAGAUGGGUUACAAUAAAUUUAUUUAAAAAUGGAUUUGUCUUUGAAAUAAGGCAUUGAAAGUGGAUUUGAUAGUAAUUUAAUUAAUAAUGUUAAUUUGAUUUUGGCUCUAAAAUAUGCACACAUCGCCCGUCGCUCUCGUUAUUUAAGGCGAGAUAAGUCGUAACAUAGUAGGUGUACCGGAAGGUGCACCUGGAAAGU